UUAUCCGGGUUGCGGACAGUGUCUGGUGGGUAGUUUGACUGGGGCGGUCUCCUCCUAAAGAGUAACGGAGGAGCACGAAGGUUGGCUAAUCCUGGUCGGACAUCAGGAGGUUAGUGCAAUGGCAUAAGCCAGCUUGACUGCGAGCGUGACGGCGCGAGCAGGUGCGAAAGCAGGUCAUAGUGAUCCGGUGGUUCUGAAUGGAAGGGCCAUCGCUCAACGGAUAAAAGGUACUCCGGGGAUAACAGGCUGAUACCGCCCAAGAGUUCAUAUCGACGGCGGUGUUUGGCACCUCGAUGUCGGCUCAUCACAUCCUGGGGCUGAAGUAGGUCCCAAGGGUAUGGCUGUUCGCCAUUUAAAGUGGUACGCGAGCUGGGUUUAGAACGUCGUGAGACAGUUCGGUCCCUAUCUGCCGUGGGCGCUGGAGAACUGAGGGGGGCUGCUCCUAGUACGAGAGGACCGGAGUGGACGCAUCACUGGUGUUCGGGUUGUCAUGCCAAUGGCACUGCCCGGUAGCUAAAUGCGGAAGAGAUAAGUGCUGAAAGCAUCUAAGCACGAAACUUGCCCCGAGAUGAGUUCUCCCUGACUCCUUGAGAGUCCUGAAGGAACGUUGAAGACGACGACGUUGAUAGGCCGGGUGUGUAAGCGCAGCGAUGCGUUGAGCUAACCGGUACUAAUGAACCGUGAGG
rnacentral:rRNA from 1 species